rnacentral:rRNA from 1 species
GCAAGUCGAGCGGAAACGACAUUAUUGAAUCUUCGGAGGAUUUAAUGGGCGUCGAGCGGCGGACGGGUGAGUAAUGCAUAGGAAAUUGCCUUGAUGUGGGGGAUAACCAUUGGAAACGAUGGCUAAUACCGCAUAAUGCCUACGGGCCAAAGAGGGGGAUCUUCGGACCUCUCGCGUCAAGAUAUGCCUAGGUGGAAUUAGCUAGUUGGUGAGGUAAUGGCUCACCAAGGCGACGAUCCCUAGCUGGUCUGAGAGGAUGAUC